AAAAGACCUUUUUCGGAAGGUAUGCUUAAAGAGGGGCUUGCGUCACAUUAGUUAGUUGGUAGGGUAAAGGCCUACCAAGACGAUGAUGUGUAGCUGGACUGAGAGGUUGAACAGCCACAUUGGGACUGAGACACGGCCCAAACUCCUACGGGAGGCAGCAGUAGGGAAUUUUCGGCAAUGGAGGAAACUCUGACCGAGCAACGCCGCGUGAACGACGAAGUACUUCGGUAUGUAAAGUUCUUUUAUUGAAGAAGAAACAAUAGUGGAAAAACUAUCUUGACGUUAUUCAAUGAAUAAGCCCCGGCUAACUAUGUGCCAGCAGCCGCGGUAAUACAUAGGGGGCGAGCGUUAUCCGGAAUUAUUGGGCGUAAAGGGUGCGUAGGCGGUUUAAUAAGUCUCUAGUUUAAUUUCAACGCUUAACGUUGUCCUGCUAGAGAAACUGUUUAACUAGAGUGAGAUAGAGGUAAGCGGAAUUCCAUGUGUAGCGGUAAAAUGUGUAAAUAUAUGGAGGAACACCAGAGGCGUAGGCGGCUUACUGGGUCUUUACUGACGCUGAUGCACGAAAGCGUGGGGAGCAAACAGGAUUAGAUACCCUGGUAGUCCACGCCGUAAACUAUGAGUACUAAGUGUCGGGGUUAAACUCGGUACUGAAGUUAACACAUUAAGUACUCCGCCUGAGUAGUACGUACGCAAGUAUGAAACUUAAAGGAAUUGACGGGAUCCCGCACAAGCGGUGGAUCAUGUUGUUUAAUUCGAAGAUACACGAAAAACCUUACCAGGUCUUGACAUACUCUGCAAAGCUAUAGAAAUAUAGUGGAGGUUAUCAGGGAUACAGGUGGUGCAUGGUUGUCGUCAGCUCGUGUCGUGAGAUGUUAGGUUAAGUUCUAAAACGAGCGCAACCCCUGUCGUUAAUUGCCAGCACGUUAUGGUGGGGACUUUAGCGAGACUGCCAAUGAAAAAUUGGAGGAAGGUGGGGAUUACGUCAAAUCAUCAUGCCCCUUAUGAUCUGGGCUACAAACGUGAUACAAUGGCUAUUACAAAGAGUAGCUGAAACGCGAGUUUUCGGCAAAUCUCAAAAAAAUAGUCUCAGUUCGGAUUGAAGUCUGCAACUCGACUUCAUGAAGUUGGAAUCGCUAGUAAUCGCGAAUCAGCA
rnacentral:rRNA from 1 species